rnacentral:lncRNA from 1 species
UUUGAGGGAAAUGGCGACUUUCGCAUCAUGUUGUCAAAAUGCAACAACUUCGGCUUGUAUAGGAUUCUUUCUACAGUGUUAUUUUCAUUUUAUUUUUGAAUCCAAUACAAGUCAAGAUACCUAUUAAAAAUCGUAUGUUUUUUGUUUUUGACAAAAUGUGCUAGAAAAGAUAAUAUUAUACCUUUUACAAAGGCAUGCACGCAAUAAAAUAUUCGAUGUUGGAAAGUAUAUGCGAAAGACACAGUUAGGCUGUUGGCAGUUGAAGAGGAGAACAAAAAUGCACUAUGUACAGCUCAGGAGCUUAAGCGAUUAGAUUCCAAGGUAA